rnacentral:rRNA from 1 species
AGUGAACGCUGGCGGUAGGCCUAACACAUGCAAGUCGAACGGCAGCACAGUAAGAGCUUGCUCUUACGGGUGGCGAGUGGCGGACGGGUGAGGAAUACAUCGGAAUCUACUUUUUCGUGGGGGAUAACGUAGGGAAACUUACGCUAAUACCGCAUACGACCUACGGGUGAAAGCAGGGGAUCUUCGGACCUUGCGCGAUUGAAUGAGCCGAUGUCGGAUUAGCUAGUUGGCGGGGUAAAGGCCCACCAAGGCGACGAUCCGUAGCUGGUCUGAGAGGAUGAUCAGCCACACUGGAACUUGGACACGGUCCAGACUACUACGGGAGGCAGCAGUGUGGAAUAUUGGACAAUGGGCGCAAGCCUGAUCCAGCCAUACCGCGUGGGUGAAGAAGGCCUUCGGGUUGUAAAGCCCUUUUGUUGGGAGAGAAAAGCAGCAGGUUAAUACCCCGCGGUUCUGACGGUACCCAAAGAAUAAGCACCGGCUAACUUCGUG